AUUGAACGCUGGCGGCAUGCUUUACACAUGCAAGUCGAACGGUAACAGGCCGCAAGGUGCUGACGAGUGGCGAACGGGUGAGUAAUGCAUCGGAACGUGCCCAGUCGUGGGGGAUAACGCAGCGAAAGCUGCGCUAAUACCGCAUACGAUCUCUGGAUGAAAGCGAGGGACCGAAAGGCCUCGCGCGAUUGGAGCGGCCGAUGUCAGAGUAGGUAGUUGGUGGGGUAAAGGGCCACCAAGCCAACGAUCGGUAGCUGGUCUGCGAGGACGAACAGCCACAGUGAGACUGGGACGCGGGCCCGACUCCUACGGGAGGCAGAAGGGGGGAAUUUUGGACAAUGGGCGCAAGCCUGUUCCAGCAAUGCCGCGUGAAGGAAGAAGGUCUUCGGGUUGUAAACUGCUUUUGUUCGGAACGAAACGGUUCGGCUUAAUACCCUGGGCUAAUGACGGUACCGUAAGAAUAAGCACCGGCUAACUACGUGCCAGCCGCCGCAGUAAGAC
rnacentral:rRNA from 1 species